rnacentral:rRNA from 1 species
GACGAACGCUGGCGGCGUGCUUAACACAUGCAAGUCGAGCGAGGAGCUUGCUCCUAGCGGCGAACGGGUGAGUAACACGUGGGCAACCUGCCCCAAGCUCUGGAAUAACUCCGGGAAACCGGGGCUAAUGCCGGAUAUGACAUCGCUGGGCAUCUGGUGGUGUGGAAAGAUUUAUUGGCUUGGGAUGGGCCCGCGGCCUAUCAGCUUGUUGGUGGGGUGAUGGCCUACCAAGGCGACGACGGGUAGCCGGCCUGAGAGGGCGAUCGGCCACACUGGGACUGAGACACGGCCCAGACUCCUACGGGAGGCAGCAGUGGGGAAUAUUGCGCAAUGGGCGAAAGCCUGACGCAGCGACGCCGCGUGAGGGAUGACGGCC